AUUGAACGCUGGCGGCAGGCUUAACACAUGCAAGUCGAGCGGGGUGAUGGUGCUUGCACUAUCACUUAGCGGCGGACGGGUGAGUAAUGCUUAGGAAUCUGCCUAUUAGUGGGGGACAACAUCUCGAAAGGGAUGCUAAUACCGCAUACGUCCUACGGGAGAAAGCAGGGGAUCACUUGUGACCUUGCGCUAAUAGAUGAGCCUAAGUCGGAUUAGCUAGUUGGUGGGGUAAAGGCCUACCAAGGCGACGAUCUGUAGCGGGUCUGAGAGGAUGAACCGCCACACUGGGGCUGGGACACGGCCCAGACUCCUACGGGAGGCAGCAGUGGGGAAUAUUGGACAAUGGGGGGAACCCUGAUCCAGCCAUGCCGCGUGUGUGAAGAAGGCCUUAUGGUUGUAAAGCACUUUAAGCGAGGAGGAGGCUCUUUUGGUUAAUACCCAAGAUGAGUGGACGUUACUCGCAGAAUAAGCACCGGCUAACUCUGUGCCAGCCGCCGCUGUAA
rnacentral:rRNA from 1 species